CGGCGCAGCUUAAAUGCAAGUCGAACGAUGAACCUCACUUGUGGGGGGAUUAGUGGCGAACGGGUGAGUAACACGUGAGUAACCUGCCCUUGACUCUGGGAUAAGCCUGGGAAACUGGGUCUAAUACCGGAUAUGACUGAUCAUCGCAUGGUGGUUGGUGGAAAGCUUUUGCGGUUUUGGAUGGACUCGCGGCCUAUCAGCUUGUUGGUGGGGUAAUGGCCUACCAAGGCGACGACGGGUAGCCGGCCUGAGAGGGUGACCGGCCACACUGGGACUGAGACACGGCCCAGACUCCUACGGGAGGCAGCAGUGGGGAAUAUUGCACAAUGGGCGCAAGCCUGAUGCAGCGACGCCGCGUGAGGGAUGACGGCCUUCGGGUUGUAAACCUCUUUCAGUAGGGAAGAAGCGUAAGUGACGGUACCUGCAGAAGAAGCGCCGGCUAACUACGUGCCAGCAGCCGCGGUAAUACGUAGGGCGCAAGCGUUAUCCGGAAUUAUUGGGCGUAAAGAGCUCGUAGGCGGUUUGUCGCGUCUGCCGUGAAAGUCCGGGGCUCAACUCCGGAUCUGCGGUGGGUACGGGCAGACUAGAGUGAUGUAGGGGAGACUGGAAUUCCUGGUGUAGCGGUGAAAUGCGCAGAUAUCAGGAGGAACACCGAUGGCGAAGGCAGGUCUCUGGGCAUUAACUGACGCUGAGGAGCGAAAGCAUGGGGAGCGAACAGGAUUAGAUACCCUGGUAGUCCAUGCCGUAAACGUUGGGCACUAGGUGUGGGGGACAUUCCACGUUUUCCGCGCCGUAGCUAACGCAUUAAGUGCCCCGCCUGGGGAGUACGGCCGCA
rnacentral:rRNA from 1 species